rnacentral:rRNA from 1 species
UACGUAGGGUGCAAGCAUUGUCCGGAUUUAUUGGGCGUAAAGAGCUCGUAGGCGGCUUAUCACGUCGGAUGUGAAAACUCGGGGCUCAACCCCGAGCCUGCAUUCGAUACGGGCUAGCUAGAGUGUUGCAGGGGAGACUGGAAUUCCUGGUGUAGCGGUGAAAUGCGCAGAGAUCAGGAGGAACACCGGUGGCGAAGGCGGGUCUCUGGGCAACUACUGACGAUGAGGAGCGAAAGCGUGGGGAGCGAACAGG